UACGAAGGGUGCUAGCGUUACUCGGAAUUACUGGGCGUAAAGAGCGCGUAGGCGGCUUAACAAGUUGGAAGUGAAAUCCCAGGGCUCAACUCUGGAAUUGCUUUCAAAACUGUUUCGCUAGAGAUUGGUAGGGGAUAGUGGAAUUCCUAGUGUAGAGGUGAAAUUCGUAGAUAUUAGGAGGAACACCGGUGGCGAAGGCGACCGUCUGGACCAAAUCUGACGCUGUGGCGCGAAAGCGUGGGGAGCAAACAGG
rnacentral:rRNA from 1 species